rnacentral:lncRNA from 1 species
AACUAGCUGUGUUCUCUUGAACAACCUUCAGGGAGAGGGCAGCCUUGGCUUCAUUCAGAAUCAAAUGACAUUAUUUCCUCUUACCCAAUAUUAGUCAUAUGCUCAUCCCCUUUUUUUAUAGUAGAUGAACAGCUCUGUUUGGAUCUCCCUGAACUUCAAAAAGACCUUUGUAUGCAGAGCUGUUGCAGAGAGGCAAAUGAUUAUGGGAUCAUUUAUUUAUAUUAUUAUGGCACAAUAGAAGUCACUUUGGUCCUUGAAUGUGUUCCAGUGACUCAAGAUAUUUUUUCCGAUGUUUUCUGACCUCUGCUCCUUUUCAAAUUCUCCCAUCUCUGAUAAAUUAGCUUCAAAACCACAGAAAAACCACAGCUGUGUUUGUUCAUCAGGGGCAUGAAGAAUGAAAGUAACUGUUUUCAUGAGGAAUCUUCAAAGGAGAGAAGCAGGCAACGUGGCUCCCAGGAAAAUGGCUUGAACAGAACCCAUGAGAGGAAGGCUGUCAGUUCAUGGAAGGGUUAUUCAUGAUAAUUUAUCAUUGAGGUCUGGCAGCCAAGAUGGCCGAAUAGGAACAGCUCUGGUCUACAGCUCCCAGCGUGAGCGACGCAGAAGACGGGUGA